rnacentral:lncRNA from 1 species
CCUGGCAACAGUACCGCAAGCUCCCCUUCUCUCUCCCCACAUACCAAACGUCAUGAUGCAGGAGUGCAUUCUGUUGUCACAUGCCAUAACACGUGAUUGUCUGACUGCUGAAUUUCGGGCUGCAGAUUGCAUGUAAACCUAUAAAAUGCCUCUAUUAUGAAUUUGAAAUUGUAUCGCAAUUUUUCAACUGAGGAGUUAAUCGAUGACACAUAUAUAUGAAGACACAUAUAUAAGUAGGAAGAUUUUAAAAUAUCAUAUGCAUUAUAUACCUGAUACAUUGCUGAUUUGUUGACAGCUUUGGCGUGUGGAAGCCCCGGAACACCACAUAGCGGUGAGGGCGCUGGCAGACGAAGGAAAUGUAGAUGUUUGGGGACACACAGCAGCCCACACCAAGGUGUUGGUUGAGGCUGAGGCCAAGAGCCGAGUGGCGAGAGCUCUGGACGAAGCCAACCUCAAGCACAGCGUCGAAGUCCAAGAUAUUCUGGCGUUGGUCGAGGAGGAGAGGGAACAUAUGCAGGAGAA